rnacentral:rRNA from 1 species
UACGGAGGGUGCAAGCGUUAUCCGGAAUCACUGGGCGUAAAGGGCGCGUAGGCGGUCUGUUAAGUCCGAUGUUAAAGACCGGGGCUCAACCCCGGCACGGCGUUGGAUACUGGCAGGCUUGACGGCUGGAGAGGCGAGUGGAAUUACCAGUGUAGCGGUGGAAUGCGUAGAUACUGGUAGGAACACCCAUGGCGAAGGCAGCUCGCUGGACAGCACGUGACGCUGAGGCGCGAAAGUGUGGGGAGCAAACCGGAUUAGAUACCCGGGUAGUCCACACCCUAAACGAUGCAUACUUGGUGUUGGCCCGUUGGGGUCAGCGCCGGAGCUAACGCGUUAAGUAUGCCGCCUGGGAAGUACGGCCGCAAGGUUGAA